rnacentral:lncRNA from 1 species
GGCAGCCUUGACUCCUGAGCUCAAGCAAUCUUCCCGUCUCACAAUGCCUGGCUAAUUUUUUAUUUUAUUUUUUUAGAGAUGGUGUCUGGCUAUGGUGCCCAGGCUGGUCUUGAAAUCCUGGGCUCAAGUAUUCCUUCUGCCUCAGCCUCCCAGUGUGCUGGGAUUACAGGGAUGAGCCACUGUGCCCUGCUGACAGCAGGUACCCCAAGAACAGAGAUUUGUGUUACUCUUCGCUUUACUUCUAAUGCCCAAGUAGGAUGCAGCAUAAUGAAGGCAUUCAAUAAGAGCUUGUGGAAGGGUCAACUGGACAGAGAAAAAAGGACAUUGAACGAAGACACUCUGAAUUCAAAGGACAGAGAACAAAGACCCUGGCUUAUUUGGAAAUCAACCUCCUUCCCUAAUCUGCCAUGUAUUUGAUAUCUAUCGUUAUUGGUAUUUUAAAUAUAAGGACGUUUUAAAUAUGACCUCAAAUUCUUUGACAAUGCUUCCUCUUGAAUGUGGGCUGGUCCUAAUGACUAGCUUCCAAUGAGUAGAAAUUGCAGAAAUGAUGUGUUAAUUUUGAGGCUACAUCAUAAAAGACAAAGAUAAUGCAGCUUCCAUCUCCGUCCCUCUUCCAUCUUGCUCUGUAGGAAGCCAGCUUCCAUUUUGUAAGGACAUUCCAAUAGCCUAAGAAGCAAUGCCCAUGGUUAGGAACCGAAAUCUCCUGCCAAAUGACAAAUGAGUGACCAUCUCAGGAACAGCUCCCUUACCCCACCAAGCCUUCAGAGAGGACUGCAGCUCCAGCCAAAACCUUAGUUGCAACCACAUGAGAGAGCCUGAGUCAGCCAUUCAACUGAAGUGUUCCCAGACUCCUGACCCACAGAAAUCCACAGAUAAUAAAAGUUUGGUUUCAACCACUAUGUUUUGGGGUAAUCUAUUAUGUAGCAGUAGAUAAUUAAUAUAAUUUGUCUGCACACUGG